GACGAACGCUGGCGGCGUGCUUAACACAUGCAAGUCGAACGGUGAAAGCGGAGCUUGCUCCGCUGGAUCAGUGGCGAACGGGUGAGUAACACGUGGGCAACCUGCACCUCACUUCGGGAUAACUCCGGGAAACCGGGGCUAAUACCGGAUAUGACCUCCUUGGGCAUCCUUGGAGGUUGAAAGUUUUUCGGUGAGGGAUGGGGCCGCGGCGCAUCAGCUUGUUUGUGAGGUAGUGGCUCACCAAGGCGACGACGGGUAGCCGGCCUGAGAGGGCGACCGGCCACACUGGGACUGAGACACGGCCCAGACUCCUACGGGAGGCAGCGGUGGGGAAUAUUGCGCAAUGGGCGAAAGCCUGACGCAGCAACGCCGCGUGCGGGAUGACGGCCUUCGGGUUGUAAACCGCUUUCAGCAGGGAAGAAGCCGCAAGGUGACGGUACCUGCAGAAGAAGCACCGGCUAACUACGUGCCAGCCGCCGCUGUAA
rnacentral:rRNA from 1 species